AGGUAACAGGUUUUUAGAGGCUUUCCAUCUUCAUUGUCAAGUAUUUGCUACACUUAUUGUUGUUUUUCAGAUUAGAGCAAUUCAAAUGAUCUCCUUUGAAAUGAAGGGGAAAGAGAAAAUAAUGGAAAUAAAAUGUAAUGAAUCUAUUACUUUGGGGAGGAGGUAAGAGUAUGGCAGCUUGAGCAGUAUUGUCAGAUUAUUUUUGUCUUAAAUGCUACCAAAUCCAUAUUUUUAAAAAUUUAAAUUUAAAUAACACCCCCUUUGUUUUUUUUUGUUUGUUUGUUUGUUUGUUUUUUGUUUUUUUGUUUUUUAGAGAUUCUCUAAUUCACAUAAGUUAUCAUCCGAAGUACGGACAUAAAAUCAUUACUGAUUUCAUUGAAGAUCUCUGCUUGAGUUUCCCUGGUGAAGAUUCCAGAAUUGUCCUCGAUGGCAACGUAGUCCUGGCUCCUCCUUUAUCCUCGUGUAUGCGUCUCCAUGGUAAUGACCUGCUUCUGAACUUGACCCAGCCCCAGUGGGAUGACCAGCCCUGAGAAGGGCAAGGUCCAGCUGGCACACAGCAAUGGGGCAGUGAUGCAGAUAAUCCAAAAUUCCUUUCUGUGUUACUUUGGAAUAAAUUUUGAUAAGGUUUUUGAAGAAGG